UGGUGUGAAUUGCAGAAUCCCGUGAACCAUCGAGUCUUUGAACGCAAGUUGCGCCCGAAGCCAUUAGGCCGAGGGCACGUCUGCCUGGGCGUCACGC
rnacentral:rRNA from 2 species